CAGCAGCCGCGGUAAUACGGAGGGUGCAAGCGUUAUCCGGAUUUAUUGGGUUUAAAGGGUCCGUAGGCGGACUUAUAAGUCAGUGGUGAAAGCAUGUCGCUUAACGAUAGAACUGCCAUUGAUACUGUAAGUCUUGAGUAUAUUUGAGGUAGCUGGAAUAAGUAGUGUAGCGGUGAAAUGCAUAGAUAUUACUUAGAACACCAAUUGCGAAGGCAGGUUACCAAGAUAUAACUGACGCUGAGGGACGAAAGCGUGGGUAGCGAACAGGAUUAGAUACCCGCGUAGUCCCUGUCUCUUAUAC
rnacentral:rRNA from 1 species